UAACACGUAGGGGACGAGCGUUGUCCGGAUUCAUUGGGCGUAAAGCGCGCGUAGGCGGCUCGGAAAGUCGGUCGUGAAAUGCCGGGGCUCAACCCCGGGACUGCGUCCGAUACUUCCGGGCUGGAGGUAGGUAGGGGAGAUCGGAAUUCCUGGUGUAGCGGUGAAAUGCGCAGAUAUCAGGAGG
rnacentral:rRNA from 1 species